CUACGAGCGAAAGCUUAAAACUCAAAGGACUUGGCGGUUUUCUAAUUCUUCCUGGAGGAGCUUGCUAUCUAACCGAUAAUCCACGAAAUACCUUACCAACUUUUGAAUAAUACAGCGUUGUAUACCAUCGUCGUCAGUUUACUUCCCAAGAAAUGUAAACAAAAAGAAUAAAUCCCUCUUAACGUCAGAUCGAGGUGCAGCUAAUAGGUUGGGGAUAAGUGAGCUACAAUUAUAGAAACAAAUAUUAAUACUAUAAAUGAAUAACAGAUUGAAACCUCAGUUUGAAACAGGAUUCAGCAGUAAUGAGUAAAAGAAAAUACACAUGAACACCACUUUUUAAAGCUCUAGAAUGCGCACACAUGG
rnacentral:rRNA from 1 species